GCCUGCAUAGUUUAGUGGCAGAACGUUGGUCUUGUAAACCAAAGGUCGUGAGUUCGAUUCUCACUGUAGGCA